rnacentral:rRNA from 1 species
UACGUAGGUGACAAGCGUUGUCCGGAUUUACUGGGCGUAAAGAGCGCGCAGGCGGUCGAUCAAGUCGAGUGUGAAAGCCCCCGGCUCAACUGGGGAGGGUCAUUCGAUACUGAUCGACUCGAAGGCAGGAGAGGGUAGUGGAAUUCCCGGUGUAGUGGUGAAAUGCGUAGAUAUCCGGAGGAAUACCAAAGGCGAAGGCAGUGUCCUGGCUGGCACCUGACGCUGAGGCGCGAAAGCUAGGGGAGCGAACAGG